CCCCUCCUGCCCGUCCGAGCCACAGGCCGCCCUGGCUUUCCCAGCACAGACACGGCCACUGGACCCUUGGCCACACGCCACGUGAGCGCCGGGGGCCCCCUCGGCCCUGCCGGCUCUAAAGAACGAGGCCUGGUUUAUAAGCUCCUCGGGAGCCAUGCUGCUUGGGGACUUGGUGCGGUUUCCGAGAUCAUCAGAGGUGACGACAUUAAGACCCAAGGUCGCUUAACGUCGGCCCAGGAACAGCCAGUUCUGGGGGGCCCGCGUCCCCGGGGAGGGGGGAGGGGAGCUGAGAAGCCAUGUGCCACGAGGCCUCGCCGGCACCCCUGGUGACCGCCCGUGUUCCGCCCGUGCGGCCGAGCCUGCCACCGCGCCGAGUGCUUGCACACCCGUGUGCUCGGUCCCCGUGAGCAGACGUUGCUGUCACCUGCAUCCUACAGACGGUACAAUGGAGGCCCAGGAUGGCUCCACGACUGGUCUUCCCGGGGCAGCCAAACCCUCCGGUGGCCACCGCUUGCCCAGAGCUGGAUCUCCUUCGGGGCCUGGCAAUAGGUGCCCCCUCCCACGGUGGCCCGCCCGCCCGCCCAGACGCAGGUCCCUGCUGCGUCACCACGGGAGGGCCUCUGUGCGGAUACUCACCUGCCCUGUUUGAACUUUGCCCUGCCCCACCGCCAGACCUGGACAGAUGCUGUUCUCCCUGCCUGGCCUGCUAACCUCUUUCUCAGCCUUCUAGAACCUUCUGCGUCCUUUCAAAGGCUCCGCUCAGGCCCACAUCACCCCAGCACCCCCGGCACUGGCUUGACAUUCAGACACUUGGUAACUGAGACCGAGAGAAAGCACGAGCUGGGGAGGUGCAGAGAGAGAGAGAGACAGGAACCGAAGCAGCAAACCCGAUGCAGGGCUCGAACUCACGAGCUGUGAGAUCACGACCUGAGCAGAAGUCAGACGCUCAGCCGACGGAGCCACCCAGGCGCCCCUGGCGUGGUAUUUCUACCGUGCAGGGGUGCUGUUGUAGAAGUUAAUUGGCUGCUAUGAAGUUUCCGGUAAAUCACUUGACCCUUUGGAAACCGGCAGACGGACCAGAUGGCCUCUGGCGUCGGUCCGGCUGGGACACUCUGUGGCCCUGAGCAGUGGCCUGGGAGCAGCCAGGGCACAGCCCUUCAGGGCAACAUACCGUAGCAGGUGCGGCCACUCCCUUCCCCCCUCUCCCCUCCCACCUGGGGCCCCGCACCUGCCCUGCCCUCCAGAGAGCGGGGGCCUUGGCGGCCCCUGUCAGCUCCACACUGCUGUCCCAGGUCUGGUUCAAGGAUGAGCCAGGCUGUUUGGCCCUCAGGGCUAGGCAGGGGUAAGUGUGGCCACCAGCCUCGCAUCCCCUCUCCCUCAACUCUGUCUCCUUCUCAGUGGUCAAAAAUUUUUUUUAACUUUUU